CUCGACGUUUCACUUUGUCUGGUGACUACGAUUAGCGAGAAAGAGUUUACCACGCUCGAGGGAUACAUUUGGGGGUAGAUAUACGCCGCCCAGUAGGCCAUGCCGUACCAUCGAGCUGCCUUGCUUGCAGCUGCACGGGACACUAGGCAAUUCCACGGUCUAGCCGACCGCGAAUGCUACGGAUCUGAGCGCUUCAUUUUCCACGCGGACUGUACUACUAGGUACGCAUUGCUAUCGUCCUCCACGACACAUGACCAACUUGACUUUAACUUUCCAUUUUUACGAAUCUUGUCGUUUGUACUUUCAAAGAAUUAUUGCAGCUUUCAUUUUAUGUAGGUUAUUUUUAUUAUACGUCUGCAUUAGCAAGGUGAGUUCCAUCUACAAUGACAAUUCGUACUGAUUUUAUCAAUACCGUACUAAUUUUUAAACAUCCGUACUGAUUUCGAACAUUUAAAUGUACCUCGGACAUUUAUUAUUUAGGAGGGCUGAAAAAAUGUGUUAUACAUUCAACCCUGGAAGAUUAAUUAAAAAUUUUAGAAAUUUGGAAAAUCAUCAAACUGCACGACUGUCGUAAAUUAUUGCAAUGGAAUUUGAUAGACAACGAGAAAUAAGGGAAGGAUUAGUACUUUGGAUUAAAGAUCUCCGCUCCUAAUAAAUAAUAAGGGAUCGACAAAUGUUCCAAUAGCUGCCGCCAUCUAGCCAUU
rnacentral:lncRNA from 1 species